UACGUAGGCAGCGAGCGUUGUUCGGAGUUACUGGGCGUAAAGGGUGUGUAGGCGGUUGUUUAAGUUUGGUGUGAAAUCUCCCGGCUCAACUGGGAGGGUGCGCCGAAUACUGAAUGACUAGAGUGCGGGAGAGGAAAGUGGAAUUCCUGGUGUAGCGGUGAAAUGCGUAGAUAUCAGGAGGAACACCGGUGGCGAAGGCGGGUCUCUGGGCCGAUACUGACGCUGAGGAGCGAAAGCCAGGGGAGCGAACGGG
rnacentral:rRNA from 1 species